UAAGCCGCAAAUUCCAGGAAGAGAAGAAGAAUUCGGUGAACCCCACAGAAUAUAUACUAAUUCUCAGAGAUAGUAAAUUCGAAUUUCUGCAACCUGCCAAAUUUAAUUAUUUAAGCAUGAGGUCACAAUCAAAAAAAUGAUGCUACUCAAUUAAAAAGAUUAAAUUCAGAAUUGUGAGACUAUAAUGCACAUAAUAAGCAGUACUGAAACUCAAACUGAAUAUUUUUUUAAAGAAAACGGGAGAUGUUAAAAUCAUAUGCAGAAAACAAUAACUUGAAAGGUUAAACUCAUGAAAUUGAACUAUAUAUACAUUCAGACUCCAAGAAUAGUAAAUAAAUUGCACUGGAUAUAUAGUACAGACCUCACAUUAAAAGACGAGUGUUGAUCUGCAGAGUAUGUUACACUCAGUAUAGGCUUUGUUUUGGCUGCAUCUCUGUUAGCAAGUGUUGCAGACCCAAGAUCAAGUGUUACAGAAAUAAUUUCUCAUGUCAUACCAGUGCCUUCUCUAACUAAAGCAAUCACACCUGGAAAAACUUUAGCAGUCAGCAUGUUUGUUUGUGGUUACACUGAACAUACAGAAACGGUAGGCAUAAAAAUCUCCCUUGAAAGAAUUUUCUAAGGAACAAACAUGC
rnacentral:lncRNA from 1 species